rnacentral:rRNA from 1 species
UGGGGAAUAUUGGGCAAUGGACGCAAGUCUGACCCAGCAACGCCGCGUGAAGGAAGAAGGCUUUCGGGUUGUAAACUUCUUUUAAGGGGGAAGAGCAGAAGACGGUACCCCUUGAAUAAGCCACGGCUAACUACGUGCCAGCAGCCGCGGUAAUACGUAGGUGGCAAGCGUUGUCCGGAUUUACUGGGUGUAAAGGGCGUGUAGCCGGGUCGGCAAGUCAGAUGUGAAAUCCACGGGCUCAACUCGUGAACUGCAUUUGAAACUGUUGAUCUUGAGUAUCGG